GCGCCAGUAGCUCAAUCAGGUAGAGCAGCGGACUCUUAAUCCGUUGGUUGGGGGUUCGAUUCCUCCCUGGCGCA
rnacentral:tRNA from 1 species